ACCUCACGGUUUCCUUUUCCUGCCCUACAGUACGACUCCUUCGGCGCCACUUUAAGAUCCCUUCUUUAAAAAUCCCAUCUGAACGGCUUUUAAAAAUGUGUUGCUGUUGGGGGUUGCGGAGAAAAUUCAUUUUUCCAUGACUUUUCCAAUCAGGUACCGCAUUGGUGCAAAAUUCAUUUUUCCAUGACUUUUCCAAUCGGGUACCGCAUUGGUGCAAAAUUCAUUUUUCCAUGACUUUUCCAAUCAGGUACCGCAUUGGUGCAGGCUUCUUCCCAAAGCAUGUGCCCAGGCCCAGUUCUGUGCAGAGAGGAUGCGGAACAGCAGGCUGAUAGGACUUUCUGGAGCUUCAGUUUUACUAUGAGAUUUGCAACAGCUGAAGUUCAGCAAUUUACAAGGAUCUCCAGAAGUGGAUGGCGCACUGGUUCUUGUUCUAGACCGUGACUUCAUUUUUUCCCUCCCAAUCUGUGGAAUCCUAAGCUGUGGGUUCCCGGAAGAGUAUUCUUCGUAGAAUGGGCAAUUUUGCAAUUAUUGUUAGUAAUUGAAGAAAGGAAGCUUUUCACAUUGAACUCAGAAUUUCACAUUCAGAGUUUCUAUGAAAAUGCAAUAUGUUAGAUGUAGAACUAU
rnacentral:lncRNA from 1 species